GAGUGUUUUACAAAUUACUAUUUAUUAUUAAUAAGAAGGGCCUUUUGUUGCGUUUGCUACUUUGUGUUUCUAAGUUUAAAAAGCAAACAUGGAUUUUACGUAUCAAGAACAAGCUGAUAUUCACAUUAUGUUUGGAAGAGCAUUUGGUAAUUGUGUUGAAGCAAGACGAUUAUAUCAUGAGGCAUUUCCUAAUCGACGAGUGCCACACCGUACGGUUUUCGCAAGAGUAGAUCGUAAUUUAAGGGAAACAGGAACAUUUCAAAGACAGGAAGUUGUUGGGCGACCAAGAAAUGCCAGAACCCUAGCAUUAGAAGAACGCGUGCUAGAUCGUAUUGAAGAAGAUCCAUCUUUGAGCACUCGCAUCAUCGCAAAUCAAGAAGGGUCCUCUCAGUCAACCGUAUGGAGAAUUUUGCACGAUAUGUUACUCUACCCUUAUCAUAUUUAACGGGUUCAGGCUUUGGAAGAGCGAGAUUUCCUUCCUCGUGUACACUUCUGUAAUUGGCUAGAUGAAAACCGCGUUGCUUUUGAAAAUUUUGAGAAGAAAAUUUAAUUUACUGACGAGGCCGGCUUCACAAGAAACGGAAUUUUCAAUUUCCACAACAACCACCUAUGGACGGAUGAGAAUCCCCAUGCUACGGUACAGAAGGCAUAUCAGCAGCAGUUUAGUUUAAAUGUGUGGGCGGGAAUAAUCGAUGGGCAUUUAAAAGGACCUGAAGGCAGAUUCUCAAUCAUCUUCUCGAGACGUGACGUCUCGAGUUGCUACGAAAUGCGAUUCCCGAUCCAUUUCGUUCUCGCUAGCGAGUCGGGAUCUGUCGAGUUCAUCUGUCAUUUUCGCUCGGGACCUAAGAAGCUGCCAAGAAUGGUAAACGAAGCGAUCUAUUGGUCGAAAAAUCUCCCAUUUAUUUUUUCCGUUGUGUGUGUCUAUCUCUAUCGGAUCGGACAUCGACAAUCAGUUGCAUAGAGAAAUGAAUAUUAAAUAUACUUUUAAUUACUCUAUGAUCCGUUGUUGGUUCAUGUUCUUGAGCUUGAGUUUGAAUUUUUGAUAUUUUGAUUUUUUGUUUGGGAGUAGAAGUACAGAUUAUUUCCAAAUAUUUUUUAAGUUUUAAAUCGAUCCGCACCUUAGGCAGCGUGCAGUUGGAGAAUCCGGUAAGUUGUUUGUUUAUUUAUGCAUAUUAUUAUAGAUUUGUUUUUUUUAAAUUACCGUACUUUAAUUUUACUUUAAAUUUACUAAUUUAAAGUAAAUUUUAUCUACUUUAAAUUAGGAGCCUGCCAUAUAAUAAUAUUUAUUAAACAGGUACCUAGGAACAAUGCAAAUACAGCAUGUAGAAGUUUUGGCAGAGUUUAUGGAAGACAACCCUGAAUUUGCAAGGGGUAGACUUUCUGCCUCGAAUGCUAGGGAGAAGUUCAAGCCACUGUGGGGAAAUUUAACCACCAGGUUAAAUCCCUUAGGACUUGGUGUUAGAGAUGUGGAAAAGUGGCAAAAAACAUGGUCUGAUUACAAAAGUAAUUUUAAAAAAAGCUGCCGAAAUAAAAAGGUAUCAAGAAGGCACAGGUGUUGGUCCAGCAACCCGUAAUACUUUGUCAGAUUUAGAACAGAGAAUCCUUAACAUUCUGGGCACUAUGUUUUAUGCAGGGAUUGGUGCGGAGGAAAGAGGUGUAAGUAUUUUAAUUGAUUAGGUAUUUUUUUCUCUGCAAAAUAGACCAAUCAUAAACAAGCAAAUGGUUUUUGUUAAAUUACUGUGUUUUACUUUUGUUUAAAUAAAAUUCUUGUUAAUUAAUUAACUGUUUUAUAUUGCAAUUUUCAGAUAAAUGUUAGCAUAUCAGGAUCCUCAACAGCUUGUACCACAAUCUCAAAGCAAUCUAUUACUGAAAUAGAGAAUAAUAAUAAUUAUGAUGCUCAACAGCAGCAUUCUACUUCUGCUGCUAAAAGGGGUAAGGAAAGUGAAGGUCCAUGUGAGCAAGCAUGCCCUAGGCAAGACCAAGACCAUGAUUACUUAUUCUUUAGGAAUAAUAGUGAACCUCCCCCUAAAAAAAAGAAAAAAAGUAAGGACCCAAUGGAAGCAUAUGAAGAAACCAUAGAAUGCCUAAAAAGCAUUGAAAACACUUUCAAAUGUGGUCUUUCAGAAAUAAAUUUGACUUUGAAGGAAGGCUUUCAAUCUUUAAGUAAAAGGAAUAAUGACUUACCAUAAAAAAUAAACACAACCAUUAUUUGGUAAUAUAUUAGGUAUACAAAAUUUUUUAAUUUAGUAUAAGUUUUGUGACCAGAGUGAAAUUUUUUUAUGAUUUUUGUUCUAUUCCUAUUUUUUAUUUAUUUUUUAAGAGUUUAGUUAUUAAUUGUUUGAGUUCCUAUCUUGGUUUGUAUUUAUUUAUGUUAUUUAAGUUUGAGUCUCAAUUAUCUUUUUGUUGACUUAAUUAUUAAAUUGUUUUUUUAUAUUUUUAUUGUUUUAAUUAAUUAAUAUUAUUGCUAUCUUAAAAAAAAUGCCAUUUUAAAUUGGCACUUUCUGUGGCUACCUAUAAUUUUUAGUUACUUCUUAGAACUUUUAAUCUCCACCCACACUUCUCUGGUAGCCACCAGUUGCAUAAAACCUUAGGGCUACUAAGAGUUUCUGCUCCACCGAUACCUUAUCCCUGUGUGUCGGGUGGUGUAUAUGAGGUCUCAAAACUUCGCACAGAUGCUGGA
rnacentral:lncRNA from 1 species